rnacentral:rRNA from 1 species
GCUUAACACAUGCAAGUCGACCGGUAAGGCCCUUCGGGGUACACGAGCGGCGAACGGGUGAGUAACACGUGGGUGAUCUGCCUUGCACUUCGGGAUAAGCCUGGGAAACUGGGUCUAAUACCGGAUAUGACCUCGGGAUGCAUGUUCUGGGGUGGAAAGAUUUAUCGGUGCGAGAUGGGCCCGCGGCCUAUCAGCUUGUUGGUGAGGUAACGGCUCACCAAGGCGACGACGGGUAGCCGACCUGAGAGGGUGACCGGCCACACUGGGACUGAGACACGGCCCAGACUCCUACGGGAGGCAGCAGUGGGGAAUAUUGCACAAUGGGCGAAAGCCUGAUGCAGCGACGCCGCGUGCGGGAUGACGGCCUUCGGGUUGUAAACCGCUUUUGACAGGGACGAAGCGCAAGUGACUGUACCUGUAGAAUAAGGACCGGCCAACUACGUGCCAGCAGCCGCGGUAAUACGUAGGGUCCGAGCGUUGUCCGGAAUUACUGGGCGUAAAGAGCUUGUAGGCGGUUCGUCGCGUCGUUUGUGAAAACUUGGGGCUCAACCUUAAGCUUGCAGGCGAUACGGGCGGGCCAGAGUACUUCAGGGGAGACUGGAAUUC